rnacentral:tRNA from 1 species
CAAGAGAUAAUUUAUAUAAAAAUAUUAACAUUGGAAGUUAAAAAUUAAGUGUUACUUAUCUUUUGA